ACAAGAAAAAAAAAUAGAGAAAAAAGUGUGUGAGUGGUUCAAAAAAAGAUAGAGAACAAGAAGUUGACACAGAACAAGAUAGGGGACACGAAACACACAUGCAAGAACAAAGGGCUUUGGGUGGAAUGAUGAUGAGUGCAGUGGCAGUGCAAUAAAAGGAAAGUAAAGUGAUAAGACGUUUACACCUACUACCACAGACAACUGAGAAAGCUAGAAGUAAAGAUACUAUCCUGGUUUAAAACAAACAACCGGCGAAAUAAAGUCAGAGGAAGAAAACCGGCGGUUACCCAAAGGGAAAACGCUCUCAGCUAGAGAGAGAAAAACUUAAGGGGGUUGUUGUCAACCAAUUUUUGCUCCCCAAACCUGUUUGCCUAGAUCAACGUCCAGAUUUUUGUUUUUUUAAUUUUUUUUAUAGGACAUCAGUUCAGAUCGUGCAUCAAAUACGUUGUUUUUGAUGUUAUUGUGCCUGAGAGAGUAAAUCGGGCAAUGGUGAUGGUAGCAUCGUUUGUGGCGGCAUCUGUGGUGGGUUGCUGAAUGUGGAAGUUAAAUUCCAGCAAAGAGGAGGUUAUAAUUUAGUUGUCAUUGUGUGUAGUGAGUUGUAUUGUUUUUUUUAGUAAGAUGAUAACGUGGCAUUUAUUUAUUGGUUUGUUAGGUGGCGAAAAACAUGACUUUUACUUCAUGACCGUACCCAAUUUACACUUGACAGACAGAGUUGAACGUCGUUCUAAAAAAAAAAGAAGAAAAAUUGAACGUGGAGAUCUCCGCCAUCUAAUUUCUUUUCCUUCCUCCCGCCCAGGCCAAACAAAGAAAAACAAUCAGAAGAGAUGAGAUGAGAAAAUAUGACAGCAAAAGUACCAGAGCAAUCAACAGCACGGCAAGCCAUCACGAUCGAUGAUAGUCAGAGAGAGCAAAGGAACCAGCAGUAGAGAAAGCAGAAAGUCAAGACAGAAGCCAGUGGAGGCAAAUACUAUAGGACAAUAGCAACAGGAAUCUGGAAACCCCCCAGAUCUACGAGCUUCAAAACCUUCACUUCCCAGAUCGGCCGUUGACACACCACCUCUAUACCCAAAACCGUCACAUAUCACCGAUCUAGGCACUUAGAUGGGUGAGAAGUGAGAUCUCCGUACACAAAGAAUCACACCGCCGGAGAUGGUGGUGAUCGAUGCCGGAGAGAUCUCAGAUGAGAGCGGUCAAAACUGUGCGGGUCGGGUUAAACCGAUACAGUCUGUUCGCUGCCCUACCCGGUUCUAUAGGGCCAGAGUUGGGCCGGGUAAGUCUCAACAAUGUUUAUCAUUUCUUUAUAGCUUCAUGUUACGCACAGCCAACAAGCCCAGCCUUGAAAAGAAAAAAAACUUGGUCCAAAGCCUUCAAAUUCAGGCCACUCAAAUCAAAAUUAAAACCCAAUAAACGCAAGAAUCUACCAAGCUUUUUUUUUUUAAUAAAAGCGGCACAAAACCGUUAACAGCUUUCCUUCCUCAAACUUCAGCCCAUGCAAGAUUUCACCAUGUAAUCUAAUUUUACAUCUAUAAACAUUCUCCUUUUACUUGGUGUCUGGUGAAAAUCUUUCAGUUCAUAUUUUAA